UCUUCAACAUUGGAAAAAUAAUCUUGACUCAGUUGAAAUCUACUUCAGUUACAUUUUGAUUUACACUAGUAAUCACUCAAGAUGGAGUCCACUCUGUUGCCCAGGCUGAAGUGCAGUGGUGCAAUCUCGGCUCACUGCAACCUUCGCCUCCCUGGUUCAGAGACUCUCCCGCCUCAGCCUUCCGAGUAGCUGCGAUUAAAGGCACCUGCUAAGACGUCCAGCUAAUUUUUGUGGUUAACUGCAGUCUGAAAAUAAGUGAGCCUGAUCUCACCAAAAUACCAAGAUCUCACCAAAUGGAAUAUGAGCGGAAGUGAUGAAGCAGUGGGCCACAUUUUCUCCAUGGAUGCAAAGGAUCCUUGGUGAUAUCAGAGAUAUGAAAUGGAAGGUAGCUGGAUUUAUGGACCACUGCUUGGGGGAGAUCCAACUACAAUCAGGAAGACUUAUUUAGACCAAACCCAAGCAAGAAAUAAACUUCUAUUCUGAUGAACACUGAGACGUAGGCUCCUGUGUGUUAUAGGAGAUACUAACGACUUAAUGAAUAUAAAUAAAACAGUUACAAAGAGGUGGGGGAAAUUAGUAUCCUGGUUAGUAUUAGAAACUAAGAAAAUCUGAACAUAUUAGUUGUUUCAAACAAAGUAUUUAAUAAAAGUCAAUUAAAGAAUCAAAAUAAAGCAGUAAGAAGUUGAAAGUAUGUGAAGCUGAGAAUAGAAAUCAGAAAAAAUUUUUUAAAGAUGUUAUAUCAAAAUUGAUUGACAUGUAUUGUAAUGUAUUGAUUGAAAAGUGAUAAAAUUGACAAAUUUCUUGCAUGUGUGAGAAAAAGAAAACAGAAGAGGCUUAAAACAUUUUAGGAUAAAAAGGGAGAGCUAAAUGCAGAGGUAGUAGAUAUUGAAAAAAUAUUAACAUCAUAAUAGUAUUUAGUAACUAAAAAUGCUUAAAUGUUUUUAAAAGAAAAAAUAUCGGCCAGGCGCACUGGCUCACGCCUGUAAUCCCAGCACUUUGGGAGGCCGAGGCGGGCGGAUCACGAGGUGAAGAGAUCGAGACCAUCCUGGCC
rnacentral:lncRNA from 10 species